GACGAACGCUGGCGGCGUGCCUAAUACAUGCAAGUCGAGCGCAGGAAACUGACGGAACUCUUCGGAGGGAAGGCAGUGGAAUGAGCGGCGGACGGGUGAGUAACACGUAAGGAACCUGCCUCAAGGAUUGGGAUAACUCCGAGAAAUCGGAGCUAAUACCGGAUAGUUCAACGGACCGCAUGGUCCGCUGAUGAAAGGCGCUCCGGCGUCACCUUGAGAUGGCCUUGCGGUGCAUUAGCUAGUUGGUGGGGUAACGGCCCACCAAGGCGACGAUGAAUAGCCGGACUGAGAGGGUGGUCGGCCACACUGGGACUGAGACACGGCCCAGACUCCUACGGGAGGCAGCGGUAGGGAAUCUUCCACAAUGGACGAAAGUCUGAUGGAGCAACGCCGCGUGAGUGAUGAAGGUUUUCGGAUCGUAAAACUCUGUUGUAAGGGAAGAACACGUACGAGAGGGAAUGCUCGUACCUUGACGGUACCUUACGAGAAAGCCACGGCUAACUACGUGCCAGCCGCCGCGGUAAGAC
rnacentral:rRNA from 1 species